AGACCUACGGGGCGCAGCAGUGAGGAAUAUUGGUCAAUGGCCGGAAGGCUGAACCAGCCAAGUCGCGUGAGGGAAGACUGCCCUAUGGGUUGUAAACCUCUUUUAUAAGGGAAGAAUAAAUGCUACGCGUAGCAUGCUGCCUGUACCUUAUGAAUAAGCAUCGGCUAACUCCGUGCCAGCAGCCGCGGUAAUACGGAGGAUGCGAGCGUUAUCCGGAUUUAUUGGGUUUAAAGGGUGCGUAGGCGGAUUUUUAAGUUAGCGGUUAAA
rnacentral:rRNA from 1 species